ensembl:lncRNA
UCACGUGUAUUACUCAAAUCAAUCUCUUCGAAGGUUUGGAGGUUAGGGGUUUUUCAAAGAUACUUUGGUGGGCAGCAGGCUAAGGUAUGAGGGUUGAUUGGAUGGGUCAGAGAUAAAUCAUGGAGAAUAGAAGCUGUUCUCUUGCACUGAGUGGGUUUCUGGGUGAGGCCACAGGACUGAUUGGUGGGUCUCAGUGGAGCCAUUGGUCAUUACAGGUGCAGAAAACCUGAAAAGACAUCUCAGAAAGCCAAUUUUAAGUUCUACAAUAGUGAUGCUAUCUGCAGGAGUAAUUGGGGACGUUGCAUAUCUUGUGACCUCCUGAAUAAUGGCUGGCAAUCAUUUAUGUCUACACCUUAGCAGAAUUCAGGCCUCUCUAAUCCUCCUGGCCUGGUGAUCUCUCACUAGCUUUACAAGGCGGCUGAAUUUUGGGGAAAGGCUAUUAUCACUUAAGCUAUAAACUAAACAUCUCGCACAGUUAGCUUGGCCCAAGCCCAGGAAUAUUUAAGGGCGGUUUGAAUGCUAAAGGCAAGAUAGGGGUUGGCUAGAUCAGAUCUCCUCCACCACCUUAAUUUUCUUGCUGUUGUAACUUUCGCAAAGGCAGUUUCAUUUCUACCAUACAGCAUUCGGGAUUCAGAAAUACUUGGUUUCACUAUUAUUCUAGGCACAGAAGAACCUUGUGAGUCCUGGACCUUUUAUUAUUUAUUUAUUUAUUUAUUUAGAUGGCGUCUCACUCUGUUGCCCAGGCUGGAGUACAGAAGCGCCAUCUUGGCUCACUGCAACCUCUGCCUUCACCUCCGGAGUUCAAGCAAUUCUCCUGCCUCAGCCUCCCUAGCAGCUGGCAUUACAGGCAUGAGCCACCUGGCCCGGGAUCCUGGCCUUUUUAAAUCAGGUUGGACACCAAUUUGCACAUCAGGACCACUGUGGACCAUGGGGCAAUGAAGGUGAAGACUGGAGCACUCAUCACCCAAGACAGGGUCUCAUUUUGUUGCCUGGGCUGGAGUAUAGUGCCCUGAUCGCAGCUUGCUGCAACCUCAAGUUCCCAUGCUCAAGCAAUCUUCCUGCCUCAACUUCCCAAGUAGCUGAGACCACAGGCAUGCUCCAUGACACCGGAACUUCUGAACUCAAGCGAUGCUCCUACCUCAGCCUUCCAAAGUGCUGGAAUUACGGGCAUGAGCCACUGAAUCCUGCCUGCCCUCUGUUUCUAUGUGGUAUUUGUCUUUCUAUGCCUGACCUAUUUCAUGUAACAUAAUUUCCUCCAGAUUCAUCCAUAUUGUCCCAAAUGACCAGAUUUCUUUCUUUUGUAAGGCUGAAUAGUAUUCCAUUGUGUAUAUAUACUACAUUUUCUUUAUCUAUUCAUCUGUUGAUGGACACUUAGAUUGAUUCCAUAUCUUGGCUAUUGUGAAUAAGCUGCAAUGAACUUAGAAGUGCAGAUACUGCUUUGACAUAAUUCAUUUCAUUUUCUUUGGAUAUAUAUCCAGAAGUGGAAUUGGGCUGGAAUAUUUUUAAUAUUUUGAGGAAACUCCAUAUUACUUUCCAUAAUAGCUGUGCUAAUUUACAUUUCCACCACCAAUGUAUAAGGGCUUUCUUUUCUCCACAUCCCCUCCAACACUGGUUAUCUGUCUUUUUGAUGUGUUUUCUCUUCUCUGUAAAGCUGUUGAUUGUAGCAUUUUAGUUUUUCCAAAAUUUUUUAAAUCAAACUUUUGAAACAUAUAGCUGAAAUGAAACAACUUUAGCAUGAAUGCUAAUAUACACCCAGCACCUAUAUUCUUGCUUUUCCACGUAUUUACUCCUGAAUUAAUAUAUUACUUGUUGUAUGUUUUUGAAAGUAAACUGCAAACAAGUGCAUGCUUCUCCUAGACCUUCCACAUGCUCUGCCAUUAACUAGAGUUCAAUGUUUAAUUUUUUCCUUUUGAUGUACAAUUAAUACACAAUUAAUUUACACACACAUUUUACUUAGUUCUGAAAAAUGUGUACACUUGUAUAACUCAAAGUCCAUCAUUAUAGAAGAUUACUAUCACCAUAGCAAAAUCUUUCGUGUCCCUUCUCAAUCACCAAUCCUGACCACACCCCAAGAAAACUACUGUUCAAAUUUUUCUCCAUCAUUGAUUGGCGUUGACUGUUUUAGAACUUCAUAAAAAUAAAAUACUGUAGUGAAGUACAUACAAUUUUAUGACUAGCUUCCUUUGCUCAAC